CGGCAGUCAGCUGGGCAGGAGGGCGGCCAGUCCCGGCCAGGAGCUGGUGCUGCGGCUGGGCCCUGUGCAAGAGAGGCGGGCCGACCUCGGCGGCAUCCGGUCUGCACUCCUUCCGUGGCCUGCGGCUCUUCUCAGAAAAACACCCACAGGCACCAGCACCAUGGGCUGCACACAAUUUUACACUCCCUCCCAACAAGCCCGUCUGCGGGCCCCUGGGGGUUAAGACGCUUCAUUUUACAGGAUGGAGAAACGAGGCUGAGACAGACUUGUCCAAGUCCCCCCAGUGUGUCAGGCGCUGGGCAAGGACUAAAGGCCAGAUGUCUGCGUGCACACAGUCAGCACUUGUCGAGCGCUUACUACCAACCAGGCACUGCGCAAGGAAAGUUCUUCCUCUGAAAACAGUUAAGCAUCUCCCUGUGAGGCCUCUCAAGCUGCACAACCCCCAGAUCACUGGCUGUUCCCCCUGGGCUGAAGGCUUCUGGUCUCCUGAACAAGCCCACACACAGAGCUGCACAGGCUGCCUCCACUCACCUCUCACUUCGCUUCCUCCUAGUCCAUGUGAAACAUUGGCAAACUGCCCAUGGCCACUUCUUUCCUGAAGGGACUCCAGAGGUUCAAAGUUAAAUUUAACACUUAAAAAGGCAGUAGGGAGAAUCUCAAGACCAGAAAAAAAUCUGCAAGCUGACGCUGCAAGACUCGUCAAGAAGCCAAAUGUCACAAGCACCUCCAUGGCUGGGAAAGCUAACUGCUUUCUUUAACACUCCCCAUGCUUUCUCAUUCUCCUGUAUUUCUCUUCUGUCUGGGGUCUUCAGGGGACCAUCCAUUUCCUUGCCACUUUCAGCAUCUGGAGGCCACCUGUAUUCCUUGGCUCAUCUCCCCUUCAAGGCAUCACUCCAACCUCUUGUGUCCAUCGUCACGUCUCCUGCUAUUGACUGAUCCUCCUGCCUCCCUCUUAGAAGGACCCUUGUGAUUACACUGGGACCAUCUGGAGGAUUCAGGAUAAUCUCUCUAUCUCAAGAUCUUUAAUUUAAUCACACCCGCAAAGUCUCUGUUACCAUGUAAGGUAACGUGUUCACAGGUUCUAGGAGCUCUGAUCUGGACCUCUUUGGGGGGCCGUUAUUCAGCCUACCACACUGGGUAAUGGGUACAUGGGGUUUGUUCUCUUUUUUUUAAAUAUGUUUGAAUAAAAAUUAUGAAAGAAAA
rnacentral:lncRNA from 1 species